AUUUGAUAGCGGAAAAUCAGAUUUCUCUUCUUCUUCUCGAAAGCUAAAGUGAAAACUCCAAUCCUUUCAAAGUUGAAUUGUUUGCUACACUUGAAGGCAAACAAUUCAGCUCUAAGUCCCCCAUUUCAUUUAAAAAACAAAUUAGCAUCAAUGUCUGCAGCCUUUCGCUGUUAUUCUCUUCUUGAAUGCUUAUAAUUCCUUAUUCCCCAGUCCUAUAAAUCGUGACAUGAGUGAAGACACAAGUUCAAAUGCAGCAAAAUCCACUCAACAAAGCUCGUUUCAUCUCUCACAUGCUACUGAUACCUUGCCUUAAAUCAUUACACUUCUUAAAUUUUACAUGAAAUCUGGAUCUCCUAUCCAUGCUUGCAUAGAAUUAUGCUGCGCCUCUAUCCACUUCAAGGCAAACCUAAAAUGUGAUCCUUUUCCCAAAGGCCAAGAAGCCAUAUGCAAAAAAGAGGCUUCAAAAUUCACUAUUAGCAUAAUUGCUAAACUCAAUGAUCAAAAAGCAUAAUUUCCUUGGAAAGCAGCCGCUCUCAUGAACUUCAACGCAAAUGUGUAUCACUGAAACAAUUGCAUCAACAAUUAACUUAUCCAAACAGUAACAAUUUGAAAUAGAAAUUUUUCUUUAUAAGCUAGCAAUUAACCAUAAGGCAGGAUUUCCACUUAUGGAAUGAAUAGUAUUUACCUGCACAGCCUCUUUAAUCAAAUGUUAUACACCAUACCGCCUUAGAGAUUUGCUUAAGCUUGGCAUUACAUUAUAAGCCUCAUAAGAUCUUCUCAGGUCAAUAAUGGAACCUACCUGGACCAAUGAAAGUUUAGGUUCAGCAUCAAUGAAACAUUCUAGAUAAUGAUGAAAAAUGUGUGCAAGCAUAAUUACUAGGCUUCUAGUUAUACUUAAUAAUCAAAACUGAUGUAAAUCCAAUUGCAAACCCCUCACUGAUAUGACGCAAGUAAUUAUCAAAGCAUGAUUGAUGUAGUUGCCAAAAUACUCAACAAGAAGCCUCCAGCAAGAUCCCACACCACCAAAAGAAAAGAAGAAAAUGAAGCUUAAAGAUCUUCGCCGGGCUCGAAAAUGCAUAAGGAAAAGAAAAUUGAAGGUAGAGGAAGAGAUGGAAAUAUUGAUGGGAUUAAUAGACUUGAAAGUGGUUUCAAGGGUAUUGAGAAUGAAUGACCUAAGUGAAGAACAAUUGCAUUGGUGUGAAGAGAAGAUGAGCAAAGUGAGAGUUUUGGAUGGGAAACUUCAAAGAGAUUCCUUACCACUUUUCUUCCCAGCACAUUGACCCAAAGACCCGCCAACAUCAUGUUGCUUGAUGACUAGAUUAUGGAUGUGCAUCCUGCACAAAAUUGCAUAUCCUAUAGCCUAGGCAACCCCCUUUUGUAAAUUCUGUAAAAAGAAAAUAAAAUUAUUUAAAUAUGGAGGGUAGGGGACCUACAAAUCAAAGCGAGUACAUGUGGGUGACAUGGAUCUUGGAGGUUUGGGAAUCCAUGGAAGAAGAGUAAAGAAAGAGAUGCAGUAGUGAUGAACAGUGAAAGUGAAAGAGCAGAGACAAAGCAAAGAACAUGCAUGUAGAAUUGGAGAUAGAGACAAGGGUGGCUUUAAUUCUCUUUAAUUAGCUUUUUAGUUAGGGUUUAUCUAUAAGGGAUAUUUUAGCUGAGUCAAAAGAAGAGAAGGGAUGUAAAGCUGUUACGCAUAUGCAGUUGAAUUAAAAAGAUCAGUAGCACAUGACACACACAAAGAGGAUUGUAAGGUUUAUUGUGGGGUUAGAAUAAGAAAAACAUAUGAAUAAAUCAACAUUGAAUUGAUAAUACAUGUUAAUUUAUUUUGUGAAGAGCAAUUCUUGUGGUUGAGCUAUUUGUCAUUAAUUAUUGUAUCUUUGUAUGGAUGACUUUUAGAAAAGCAUUGACUAAUAAAAAGACUACCAUAAUUAUGUUUAGCUUGGG
rnacentral:misc_RNA from 1 species